AGAGUUUGAUCCUGGCUCAGGAUCAACGCUGGCGGCGUGCCUAAUGCAUGCAAGUCGAACGGUUGUCCUUCGGGGCGGCCGUGGCGAACGGCUGAGGAACACGUGCGUAUCCACCUCCUCGUGGGGAAUAACCCGUGCAAACACGGGCUAAUACCGCGUACGCUUGCUUCGGCAAGGAAAGCCUUCGGGCGCGGGGAGCGGAGCGCGCGGCCCAUCAGGUAGAUGGCGGGGUAAUAGCCCACCAUGCCGAUGACGGGUCGCUGGUCUGUGAGGACGGCCAGCCAGACUGGGACUGCGACACGGCCCAGACACCUACGGGUGGCAGCAGCAAGGAAUCUUCGGCAAUGGGCGCAAGCCUGACCGAGCAACGCCGCGUGGAGGACGACGGCCUUCGGGUUGUAAACUCCUUUUCUGGGGGACGAUACGGACGGUACCCCAGGAAUCAGCCCCGGCUAACUCUGUGCCAGCAGCCGCGGUAAUACAGAGGGGGCAAGCGUUGUCCGGACUUACUGGGCGUACAGCGCGCGCAGGCGGUGCCAUAUGUGCCCGGUGACAUCUGCUCGCUUAACGAGCAGCGGCCCGGGUAGACAGUGGCGCUGGAGGCAGGGAGAGGGAUGUGGAAUACCCGGUGGAGCGGUGAAAUGCGUAGAGAUCGGGUGGAACACCAGCGGCGAAGGCGGCAUCCUGGCCCUGAACUGACGCUGAGGCGCGAUAGCGUGGGGAGCAAACGGGAUUAGAUACCCCGGUAGUCC
rnacentral:rRNA from 1 species